GCCCGACUUGAUAGAUGAUGCACUAGGGUUUUGCGUUCCUAAUUGAAGAACAAAGUCUACCCGGUUCUUUUAAUUGGUUCACAAUUUUUUCCAUUUCCUGGAAAUCCACUCGACAAUUUUGGCGCGAUAGAAGCAAAAUUAAUGGGAACAGAAGAAGAAGGUGGCUGCGGCGGCUGUGGAGCUGCGGCGGCCACAGCUGCAGCGUCACAUAGGAUAUACGUUGGGGGACUGGGAGGAAAUGUAACUGCUGAAGAUUUGAAAAACACCUUCUCUUCGCCCCAGUUGGGCUCUGUAGAAUCCGUUGAAAUUGUACGGACCAAAGGCCGCAGCUUUGCUUAUUUGGACUUCGUUCCUUCCUCUGACAAAGGCCUCGCCAAGCUCUUCAGCACGUAUAAUGGAUGUAUGUGGAAAGGGGGAAGGCUCAGACUUGAGAAGGCUAAAGAACACUACAUACUUAGAUUGAGGCGUGAGUGGGAUGAGGAUGCCAAGCUUUCCAUUGAUUCCAACAGUUUUGAUGGGGAUGCCAUUGUAAACAUGCCUUCUUUGGAAAAACCGGUGAAAGCCCACAACUUGGAAAAUACGCAACUCAGAAUUUUCUUUCCUAAGCUAAGGAAGGUGAAACCUGUGCCUCUGAAAGGAACUGGAAAGCACAAAUACAGUUUUCCACGGGUUGAGGUUCCUCCUCUCCCAAUUCACCUUUGUGAUUGUGAGGAGCAUUCUGGUUCAUCAGAUGCAGCUAAAAAAUCUUUUCAUAGAGAGGAUGAAAAUGAUGGGAUCAAUGAAGAAGAGCUGAACAUGAUGACAUCAGUGAUGAACAAACUUUUUGAGAGGGAGAACACCUCGGAGACUGCUUGUACCAAGGUCGGAUUCACUAUGGAGGCAUUCGUCUCAAGGAACUCAGUUGAUGAUAUUCAAGUCGAUCAGGAGAGAGAUCAAAUUUCUGAUGAAGAUAACCUUAUUAUGAACAUGGUUGCUGGGUCAAACAGUGGUAUCACUACAGCAGAUGCUUGGGAACAAAAUGCAAUUAGUGGCAACCAGGAACCUUCUAGAUCCAGAUCCCUGCAGAGAAUUCAUAAAAAUCAGGGAAAAGCUACUGUGCUUUCCAAGAAGAAGCGGAAAGCAGCUCAAGAUUUUGAUACUAUUCCAGAUCAAGUCGCAGAACCAGGAGCAGGAGUUCUACAACCAAGCUACCAUCAUGUGCGUAAAAAGUCUAUAAGGAGAGAUCUGGUAAGUGACGGAGAAAAUAGUUUUCGUAUAUCUGAUAUCCUACAAAGUAAUGAUACUGGAGGAGAAAUGCAGUCGAAACCAGAUAGUUCUACUCUGCUAAACUGCAAAGACCCGCCAAGCCAAUCAUCCCAGAUUAAAGUGGUGAAUGAAUCUACUGAAACCAUUUGUGGUACGCCAAAUGCAGGAAUUGAUAAGGGACGGGAAGGUAAUUCAUUCCUAAACAGAUCCUCGUGGAUGCAGCUUGUUGGUAGUAACAGCUCGUUCAGUAUCUCUCAGAUUCUGCCUGGUCUAAAUUUAGAAAAGCAAGAGAUUCCACAAUUUAAUGUCACUGAUAGUUCAACUUCAACAAAAAGGAGGCAGGAUUUUAUGAAGACUGAUAAAAGUGAUUUCAUCACUGAUGUUUCUAAAUCUCAGCCUGUAGUUGAUAUCCCAAAAUAUUCUUUAGCUGAUUCAAAGACUAACCAUGCUAGCCAGAACCAAUUAGAUUCAGUAAAGAAGCUGCAGGGAGGUAAGUCAAGCAACGAUGCCUACAAUCUACCAUUCAGUGAGAAACAACCAAUACAGGCAAAGAGGACCUCUAUGGGAGACCGUGGAAUGCCUGAAACCUUUACUUUUAAGAGAAGUGCUGCCUCCAUGAAAGAGUGGAAGAAGGCUAAAGCAGCAGUAAGUGGUUCACGGAAGAAAAGGGUCAAGAAAAAAUGAGUGCUAAGAGGCAACGAAAUGCAAUGUUCCUCGAUUAAGGGUUAUAACUCUUUGGUAGAGACCGCUAGCUGAUGUCCUUGGGGUUUUUGCUUAGCACUAAAUUCCCAAUCCAAGAAAACGUGACAUUGUUGGAUGUGGUCUCACUCAACCACCAGAUGAGGUUCACACUGCUGGGUUGUCUUGAGUUGGACCUUGCACAUUUCUGCAAGAACUUGCUGUUUGUCUUGAUGAUUCAAUUUUAGCUAGCCCUGCUACACAAAAAUAUUUAACACAAUUCGUUUCUUUGAACGCAGGCGACUUUUUCUUAAUGGUCAAUGCAUGUUUAUGUUCCAUCUUGCAGAUGUGGCUCUUUUUGACAGCCAAAACCGGUGACACUUAGCGGCAACUGUUAUUAAAGCUUUAUAGAAUUUUUGAUUACAUAUUGAUGUUGAGAGUUAAAACAGAAGACCAAUGCUUUCGAUGCUACAUGCCUCAUCAUAUAAAGUAUCACCUAUUAUGGGGAAUUCAAGUAAAUCCUAGGAUUCAGAUUAAGUACGUUGUUGAGAAGAGUCCUAUGUCGCAAGAUUACAUGGAAAGCCUUGAAAGCUUUUUAGCUUCCGUUAUGUAAGAGUUUUAAACGGAGCCUUAGUCAAAGAACAAGACAAGAAGUCCAACGAUUGUUAUGGAAUCCAAGCACAACAAAGGACAGCUUACGACCCCCUCCUAUCUAUCUUUGAGUUCCUGCUCAAACUGAUUUAACUUUUCUCGAACAGGCUGCAAAAAUUGUUUCAAAUCUUUGACAAUCCGCUGCUUGUCUUCCUGCUGAA